UACGGAGGGGGCUAGCGUUAUUCGGAAUUAUUGGGCGUAAAGGGCGCGUAGGCGGCCUGUUGCGUCCGCUGUGAAAUCCCGGGGCUCAACCCUGGGCGUGCAGUGGAUACGGGCAGGCUGGAGGCAGGCAGGGGAGAACGGAAUUCCUGGUGUAGCGGUGAAAUGCGCAGAUAUCAGGAGGAACACCGAUGGCGAAGGCAGGUCUCUGGGCCACUACUGACGCUGAGAAGCGAAAGCAUGGGGAGCGAACAGG
rnacentral:rRNA from 1 species